ensembl:lncRNA
ACCAAUUGUCUCUUUGUUAUGCUACUGACAUUGCUGUGUCUUGUCUGGAGUUCACCAAAGGCUUACCACCAUGACAAAGUUAUUAGGUGUAGGCCUGUUAACGAAAAGCCCUUUUCAGCAACGUGUCUCACACAGAAAUGUUCAUGACCGCUUCCAACAACAGUAAGGAACCCUGGGGCUAAAACUCUUUUUGCGUUCUCCACUCUGCAUGCAGUGCAGGCUUUCCAACAACCCCUGAAUUACACAAAACUCUUGACAAGGUCUUCAGGAAAUGAGGUGGUACUCAGGGCCCUCCACAUUGUGCUUUUCUGUUUCCAAUGCUGUGGUGUCUCCGCUAUAUCUUUAUCUAUGUAGCACCAUGAACUUUUCCAGCUCCAAUAUACUUCACUUAAGUAAUUUUAUUUAAGGAUUUUAUUUAAGUAGUUGUCAACGGUUUACGGGCGUUCGGCCCGGUUCCAUGAUGAAUGGGACAGGGGACCCACGGACCCACACCCUGGGAAAGGGAAAAGGGAAAAAAACAGUAAGGAGAUGGUCCUGAGAGCAAAAACAGCGGCAACAAUCUGAGGAGAUCCAUUACAGUAGUUAAGAAAAACCUGUGUUUUCCUUAAUAGAAAUAAUAGAGGGAAACAAAUUAUGAGAUUAUGCAUCUAAUUAUAACUGAAUAUGGCAAUAUUAAGUUGGUUGUCCACUGAGAAUGGGAGUCACCAUGACAAAACUGCUGAGUGUUCUGGAAGUCAAAAGCCUGCUACUACAUAGAGCUGUUAAAAAAAAAGAAAAAGAUAUAGGGUAGGAGCAACCAUUUCACUUUUUGGGUUAAUUUUCUUGAAAUGUUUAGCUGCAGUGUGGUUCAUUUAGAGAUAUUAGGUAAGGAGAUAGUGUAGAAAUGAGAAUAAAAGUAUCUUAUUUGAAAACGAAGUACAUCAUGAGAGAACUAUCCAUUAUCAUUUGCUUGGAAGGGCUGCUGAAAGCUCGAGUUGAACACAUCAUCUCCACACACAUCCUUCUGCUGAGAAGUCCUCAAGUUGAAAUGACUGAAGCGCAACUGCAUUUGGGCUAUACAGGCUUAAAAGAUAAAAUAGGCUGAAAUGUCUGAAUCCCUGUCUACGUAAAUGAGACAGUUAAUUCCAAACCUGCACACUUCUUUCAUGUAAGGGCUGGGGAACACCGGAGGUGUUGCACCUUGCAAAGUAAACCAACAUAUCUCCUGUACUGUGUCUCACAAGCAUGAGUAUGCCUUUCUUGGAGAUGGCAGUAGGUGGGAGAUGGGUUUGUCCCAUCUCGCUGUAAUCAAUGUUACGUAAAGAUAACACUUGUUGUCCUACCCUUGAAGAGCAAAACCAGGGUUUUAUUUCCUCCUGUCCUUUCCCUCCUGCAUAGUGCAAAGGUCAGCAUCAGCAAUCAGGAUGCUCUCCAGGGUGGUGGAGGUGUGGGCUGGAACUGCUUUGCAGUGCCAAGGGACUGAUUUAUUUUUAGUUAUUUUUAAUUAAGGAAGAUCAGGCUUCUUAAAUCAACAGCAUUCCCCCUGUAUCUUUCCUUUCUUCAGGCAACCACAACGAAAAAGGCUCCAACAGGAAGCCAAAAAGAAAUAAUGAGUAGCAAAGUAUGCCUCAAUUCCCUUUCCUUCCCUGUUUCUGGAAUUUAGGCACCCAAAUUAAGGCUGUGGUCCGAUGCUGCCAUUGUUUUUUGACCAUCAAAUCGUAUCUUCAAAAUCAACGUGUGAAAAAGUUCUCUCAAGUAACCGCACAGGCUACCUAGUGCCUUUGAGAAUGAUGUAGGUCUCCUAUAUAUCUGAUGUCAUCAGUUACCACACUAAGCAAUGUGACUGCAUAGUUUAUGGGCCCUCAGGGUUUUCUUUGAUGGCUCUCUGGAGCAGAGAUGCAGAAAUUCUGCCUAAACAUUUAUUUGGAUGCAUAUAGAAAUGCAUUCUUAGACAUAAUCCUUCCUGUUUGAUUUUGGCUGAGGAGCAGUGCCUGAUUUGUUUUAGUUUGUGAUGGUUGUAAAUUGGAAAAAAAUAAUUAUGCCAAGUGGAGUCAUAUUCAUAUAACACUACAUUAUUUCAUAUUUUACAUUACCCUUGUGUAAAUGUGCUUCUAAUGCAUGUUGCCUAACUCCUAGGGUUACUGAGAAAAUAAAUUCAAAAUUGUUUACA